rnacentral:rRNA from 1 species
GACGAACGCUGGCGGCGUGCUUAACACAUGCAAGUCGAACGGAAAGGCCCUGCUUUUGUGGGGUGCUCGAGUGGCGAACGGGUGAGUAACACGUGAGUAACCUGCCCUUGACUUUGGGAUAACUUCAGGAAACUGGGGCUAAUACCGGAUAGGAGCUCCUGCUGCAUGGUGGGGGUUGGAAAGUUUCGGCGGUGGGGGAUGGACUCGCGGCUUAUCAGCUUGUUGGUGGGGUAGUGGCUUACCAAGGCUUUGACGGGUAGCCGGCCUGAGAGGGUGACCGGCCACAUUGGGACUGAGAUACGGCCCAGACUCCUACGGGAGGCAGCAGUGGGGAAUAUUGCACAAUGGGCGGAAGCCUGAUGCAGCAACGCCGCGUGCGGGAUGACGGCCUUCGGGUUGUAAACCGCUUUCGCCUGUGACGAGGCGUGAGUGACGGUAAUGGGUAAAGAAGCACCGGCUAACUACGUG